AUACGUAGGGGGCGAGCGUUGUCCGGAAUGCUUGGGCGUAAAGGGCGCGUAGGCGGCCCGGUAAGUCUGGAGUGAAAGUCCUGUUUUUAAGAUGGGAAUUGCUUUGGAUACUGUCGGGCUUGAGUGCAGGAGAGGUAAGUGGAAUUCCCAGUGUAGCGGUGAAAUGCGUAGAGAUUGGGAGGAACACCAGUGGCGAAGGCGACUUACUGGACUGUAACUGACGCUGAGGCGCGAAAGUGUGGGGAGCAAACAGGAUUAGAUACCCUGGUAGUCCACACUGUAAACGAUGAAUGCUAGGUGUAGGGGGUAUCGACCCCUUCUGUGCCGCAGUCAACACAAUAAGCAUUCCGCCUGGGGAGUACGGCCGCAAGGUUGAAACUCAAAGGAAUUGACGGGG
rnacentral:rRNA from 1 species